GAUGCAGAUAAYAUUCUGAAACACUACAACCAUGUUGAAAUACUUUAAAGUUGCUACUGUUGCUGUUAUAGUUUUAAGCAGCCUUAUUAUGACUGCUUAUGCACAAGGACAAUCAGGACAAGGACAGGGACAAGGACAGGGACAACAACCAGAAUAAAAACUGAUUUGAAAGGUUUACCAGAAUUUGAAGAGCGAAAACUCCACAUGCACAUUAUGUAAUAUUGGAAUUUAAGCUUAAUAAAUUACUUAAAAGCAAUAA